rnacentral:tRNA from 18 species
AGCCACGACGCCGGGCGAGCGUCGGUCUCCAAAACCGAGCGAAGAAGGUUCGAUCCCUUCUGUGGCUACCA